UAUUCAACGGCCGCGGUAUCCUGACCGUGCAAAGGUAGCAUAAUCAUUUGCUUUUUAAUUGAAGGCUAGUAUGAAAGGACACACAAGGAUAAAGCUGUCUCACUUAAAUUAUCUAUAAACUGAUAUUCAGGUGAAGAAGCCUGAACUAUAAUAAAGGACAAGAAGACCCUAUAGAGCUUUACUGGCCAGAGCAUCCCACUUAAUACCAGUUUGGUUGGGACAACCAAAAGACAUUAUCACCUCUUUUUGCGAUAUUAAAAUACUCACCCAAUAAUGUAUAAAAAAUAGCUACCUUAGGGAUAACAGGCUAAUCCCAUUAGAGAGACCACAUUGACAAUGGGGGUUGGCACCUCGAUGUUGGCUUAGUGUUACUAUUAGGCGCAGCCGCCUAACCAGUUGGUUUGUUCAACCAUUAAAUCACUACAUGAGCUGAGUUCAGACCGGCGUAAGCCAGGUUAGAUUCUAUCCUUAUUAUCUAAAUAAAACAUAGU
rnacentral:rRNA from 1 species